UGGGGAAUAUUGCGCAAUGGGCGAAAGCCUGACGCAGCAACGCCGCGUGCGGGAUGAAGGCCUUCGGGUUGUAAACCGCUUUCAGUAGGGACGAAAUUGACGGUACCUACAGAAGAAGCCCCGGCCAACUACGUGCCAGCAGCCGCGGUAACACGUAGGGGGCGAGCGUUGUCCGGAUUUAUUGGGCGUAAAGAGCUCGUAGGCGGCUCGGUAAGUCAGGUGUGAAACCUCCAGGCUCAACCUGGAGACGCCACCUGAUACUGCUGUGGCUUGAGUCCGGUAGGGGAGCGUGGAAUUUCUGGUGUAGCGGUGAAAUGCGCAGAUAUCAGAAGGAACACCAGCGGCGAAGGCGGCGCUCUGGACCGGUACUGACGCUGAGGAGCGAAAGCGUGGGUAGCAAACAGG
rnacentral:rRNA from 1 species